UCUCCUAUCAAGGGAAGGCAAUUCUUUCCACAGCUUCUUCCUGUGAUCUUUAAGUCACUCCAGAGUCCAGAGAAGCCUCGCUCUGAGGAUGAGCUAACCACAGCAAGCACCAUGGGACCCUCUAGAGUAAUCAGGAAGAAGACUUCCAAAACCUGAUGUGAUGUCUCCUGCUGGAGACGGGGCACGAGGUGCAGGGAAGGGGAGGUGGCCUGAUCCAGGACGAGGAUGACGCAAUGCUGAAGCUGGAGGAGAGAAGCAACAGGCACCAUGGAAAAACCCAAAACAAAGCAAG